rnacentral:rRNA from 1 species
UACGUAGGGUGCGAGCGUUAUCCGGAAUCAUUGGGCGUAAAGAGCUCGUAGGCGGUUCAGCAAGUCGGCUGUGAAAGUCCGAGGCUCAACCUCGGAAUUGCAGUCGAUACUGCUGUGACUCGAGUCCGGUAGAGGAGAACGGAAUUCCCGGUGUAGCGGUGAAAUGCGCAGAUAUCGGGAGGAACACCAGUAGCGAAGGCGGUUCUCUGGGCCGGCACUGACGCUGAGGAGCGAAAGCGUGGGGAGCGAACAGG